GAUGAACGCUGGCGGCGUGCCUAAUACAUGCAAGUCGAGCGAACGGACGAGAAGCUUGCUUCUCUGAUGUUAGCGGCGGACGGGUGAGUAACACGUGGAUAACCUACCUAUAAGACUGGGAUAACUUCGGGAAACCGGAGCUAAUACCGGAUAAUAUUUUGAACCGCAUGGUUCAAAAGUGAAAGACGGUCUUGCUGUCACUUAUAGAUGGAUCCGCGCUGCAUUAGCUAGUUGGUAAGGUAACGGCUUACCAAGGCAACGAUGCAUAGCCGACCUGAGAGGGUGAUCGGCCACACUGGAACUGAGACACGGUCCAGACUCCUACGGGAGGCAGCAGUAGGGAAUCUUCCGCAAUGGGCGAAAGCCUGACGGAGCAACGCCGCGUGAGUGAUGAAGGUCUUCGGAUCGUAAAACUCUGUUAUUAGGGAAGAACAUAUGUGUAAGUAACUGUGCACAUCUUGACGGUACCUAAUCAGAAAGCCACGGCUAACUACGUGCCAGCAGCCGCGGUAAUACGUAGGUGGCAAGCGUUAUCCGGAAUUAUUGGGCGUAAAGCGCGCGUAGGCGGUUUUUUAAGUCUGAUGUGAAAGCCCACGGCUCAACCGUGGAGGGUCAUUGGAAACUGGAAAACUUGAGUGCAGAAGAGGAAAGUGGAAUUCCAUGUGUAGCGGUGAAAUGCGCAGAGAUAUGGAGGAACACCAGUGGCGAAGGCGACUUUCUGGUCUGUAACUGACGCUGAUGUGCGAAAGCGUGGGGAUCAAACAGGAUUAGAUACCCUGGUAGUCCACGCCGUAAACGAUGAGUGCUAAGUGUUAGGGGGUUUCCGCCCCUUAGUGCUGCAGCUAACGCAUUAAGCACUCCGCCUGGGGAGUACGACCGCAAGGUUGAAACUCAAAGGAAUUGACGGGGACCCGCACAAGCGGUGGAGCAUGUGGUUUAAUUCGAAGCAACGCGAAGAACCUUACCAAAUCUUGACAUCCUUUGACAACUCUAGAGAUAGAGCCUUCCCCUUCGGGGGACAAAGUGACUGGUGGUGCAUGGUUGUCGUCAGCUCGUGUCGUGAGAUGUUGGGUUAAGUCCCGCAACGAGCGCAACCCUUAAGCUUAGUUGCCAUCAUUAAGUUGGGCACUCUAAGUUGACUGCCGGUGACAAACCGGAGGAAGGUGGGGAUGACGUCAAAUCAUCAUGCCCCUUAUGAUUUGGGCUACACACGUGCUACAAUGGACAAUACAAAGGGCAGCGAAACCGCGAGGUCAAGCAAAUCCCAUAAAGUUGUUCUCAGUUCGGAUUGUAGUCUGCAACUCGACUACAUGAAGCUGGAAUCGCUAGUAAUCGUAGAUCAGCAUGCUACGGUGAAUACGUUCCCGGGUCU
rnacentral:rRNA from 1 species